rnacentral:lncRNA from 1 species
AAAUCAAACUCAAAAAAGCACUCGGUCGAUUUGUUUUCAGGUUCGGCCCUUUGCCUAUAUCCCCGCCAACUUCUAGACACGAGAACGUUGGAAUUCCCAACAGAUGAUGCUCUUGCGGAUAAGCACCAAGUCUUUACACCAAAAGACUCUUCUUCUUACAAUAUUAUUACAAGCCUCUUUCUCUCUUUUACAAAAUAUAUCUCACUGUAAAGAUCACUCAAGUUUAGAGAGAGAAUUGAGAGCUAAGAGUAUUGAAUACUAGCAAUUACAAGCUCAAGUAUCUAUGUUUGAAACACCAAAAUCCUCUAUUUAUAGGCAAAAUAAA